rnacentral:rRNA from 1 species
UCCUCGAUUCAGCGGCGGACGGGUGAGUAAUGCCUAGGAAUCUGCCCAGUAGUGGGGGACAACGUUUCGAAAGGAACGCUAAUACCGCAUACGUCCUACGGGAGAAAGUGGGGGAUCUUCGGACCUCACGCUAUUGGAUGAGCCUAGGUCGGAUUAGCUAGUUGGUAGGGUAAAGGCCUACCAAGGCGACGAUCCGUAACUGGUCUGAGAGGAUGAUCAGUCACACUGGAACUGAGACACGGUCCAGACUCCUACGGGAGGCAGCAGUGGGGAAUAUUGGACAAUGGGCGAAAGCCUGAUCCAGCCAUGCCGCGUGUGUGAAGAAGGCCCUCGGGUCGUAAAGCACUUUAAGUUGGGAGGAAGGGCUUACAGCGAAUACCUGUGAGUUUUGACGUUACCAACAGAAUAAGCACCGGCUAACUUCGUGCCAGCAGCCGCGGUAAUACGAAGGGUGCAAGCGUUAAUCGGAAUUACUGGGCGUAAAGCGCGCGUAGGUGGCUUGAUAAGUUGGAUGUGAAAUCCCCGGGCUCAACCUGGGAACUGCAUCCAAAACUGUCUGGCUAGAGUGCGGUAGAGGGUAGUGGAAUUUCCAGUGUAGCGGUGAAAUGCGUAGAUAUUGGAAGGAACACCAGUGGCGAAGGCGACUACCUGGACUGACACUGACACUGAGGUGCGAAAGCGUGGGGAGCA